rnacentral:rRNA from 1 species
AGUGAACGCUGGCGGUAGGCCUAACACAUGCAAGUCGAACGGCAGCACAGAGGAGCUUGCUCCUUGGGUGGCGAGUGGCGGACGGGUGAGGAAUACAUCGGAAUCUACUCUGUCGUGGGGGAUAACGUAGGGAAACUUACGCUAAUACCGCAUACGACCCACGGGUGAAAGCAGGGGACCUUCGGGCCUUGCGCGAUUGAAUGAGCCGAUGUCGGAUUAGCUAGUUGGCGGGGUAAAGGCCCACCAAGGCGACGAUCCGUAGCUGGUCUGAGAGGAUUAUCAGCCACACUGGAACUGAGACACGGUCCAGACUCCUACGGGAGGCAGCAGUGGGGAAUAUUGGACAAUGGGCGCAAGCCUGAUCCAGCCAUACCGCGUGGGUGAAGAAGGCCUUCGGGUUGUAAAGCCCUUUUGUUGGGAAAGAAAUCCAGCUGGCUAAUACCCGGUUGGGAUGACGGUACCCAAAGAAUAAGCACCGGCUAACUUCGUGCCAGCAGCCGCCGUAA